GAACGCUAGCUACAGGCUUAACACAUGCAAGUCGAGGGGCAGCAUGGUCUUAGCUUGCUAAGGCCGAUGGCGACCGGCGCACGGGUGAGUAACGCGUAUCCAACCUGCCUUACACUCUUGGACAGCCUUCUGAAAGGGAGAUUAAUACAAGAUGUUAUCAUGAGUAAGCAUUUUCGCAUGAUUAAAGGUUUACCGGUGUAAGAUGGGGAUGCGUUCCAUUAGAUAGUAGGCGGGGUAACGGCCCACCUAGUCUUCGAUGGAUAGGGGUUCUGAGAGGAAGGUCCCCCACAUUGGAACUGAGACACGGUCCAAACUCCUACGGGAGGCAGCAGUGAGGAAUAUUGGUCAAUGGACGAGAGUCUGAACCAGCCAAGUAGCGUGAAGGAUGAAGGUUCUAUGGAUUGUAAACUUCUUUUAUACGGGAAUAAACGAAUCCACGCGUGGAUUUUUGCAUGUACCGUAUGAAUAAGGAUCGGCUAACUCCGUGCCAGCAGCCGCGGUAAUACGGAGGAUCCGAGCGUUAUCCGGAUUUAUUGGGUUUAAAGGGAGCGUAGAUGGGUUGUUAAGUCAGUUGUGAAAGUUUGCGGCUCAACCGUAAAAUUGCAAUUGAUACUGGCAGUCUUGAGUACAGUUGAGGUAGGCGGAAUUCGUGGUGUAGCGGUGAAAUGCUUAGAUAUCACGAAGAACUCCGAUUGCGAAGGCAGCUUACUAACCUGUAACUGACAUUGAUGCUCGAAAGUGUGGGUAUCAAACAGGAUUAGAUACCCUGGUAGUCCACACGGUAAACGAUGAAUACUCGCUGUAGGCGAUAUACAGUCUGCGGCCAAGCGAAAGCAUUAAGUAUUCCACCUGGGGAGUACGCCGGCAACGGUGAAACUCAAAGGAAUUGACGGGGGCCCGCACAAGCGGAGGAACAUGUGGUUUAAUUCGAUGAUACGCGAGGAACCUUACCCGGGCUUAAAUUGCAACCGAAUAUGGCGGAAACGCUAUAGCUAGCAAUAGCGGUUGUGAAGGUGCUGCAUGGUUGUCGUCAGCUCGUGCCGUGAGGUGUCGGCUUAAGUGCCAUAACGAGCGCAACCCUUGCCGAUAGUUACUAACAGGUCAUGCUGAGGACUCUGUCGGGACUGCCAUCGUAAGAUGUGAGGAAGGUGGGGAUGACGUCAAAUCAGCACGGCCCUUACGUCCGGGGCUACACACGUGUUACAAUGGGGGGUACAGAGGGCUGCUACCACGCAAGUGGAUGCCAAUCCCAAAAACCUCUCUCAGUUCGGAUUGAAGUCUGCAACCCGACUUCAUGAAGCUGGAUUCGCUAGUAAUCGCGCAUCAGCCACGGCGCGGUGAAUACGUUCCCGGGCCUUGUACACACCGCCCGUCAAGCCAUGGGAGCCGGGGGUACCUGAAGUGCGUAACCGCAAGGAGCGCCCUAGGGUAAAACUGGUGACUGGGGCUA
rnacentral:rRNA from 1 species